CAUUAAAAAGCUUUAAGAAGCAUCGAACUUUUAAUUCGAAGAUAUGGCAUCAUCCAUUUUAAUGA
rnacentral:tRNA from 1 species